CAGUCGCCACGGGAAUACGGAGGGGGCUAGCGUUGUUCGGAAUUACUGGGCGUAAAGCGCACGUAGGCUGCUUUGUAAGUCAGAGGUGAAAGCCCGGGGCUCAACCCCGGAUGUGCCUUUGAGACUGCAGAGCUAGAAUUGCGGAGAGGUGAGUGAAAUUCCGAGUGUAGAGGUGAAAUUCGUAGAUAUUCGGAAGAACACCAGUGGCGAAGGCGGCUCACUGGACGCGUAUUGACGCUGAGGUGCGAAAGCGUGGGGAGCAAACAGGAUUAGAUACCCCCGUAGUCCAUGUCUCUUAUAC
rnacentral:rRNA from 1 species